rnacentral:lncRNA from 1 species
UGCAAGUGCCUUCUCUUCUCCGGGUUUCACCACAACCAAAGCUCCAACAUUGUGUUGUGUCAUCUAAAAGAGGUAGAAUAUUGAGCCAUCAGUUCAUAUACGACUGUCCAAAACAAGUAGUUGGUUCACACAGUAUAUAUGCAUAUGCUUGGUUAUACUAUAUAUACCUCACAUUUCAUUUGAUAUUCCUAUAGGAAAUCAAUAAACGAGUAUUAAUGCAAAAAGCAGCAUACCGAUUUCACAGCAUCAUAAACAGUGUCAUUAGUUGUACACCACAGCCAGGAACCAUCAGCACUCUUGCCUUUAGCUUUCAGAAUAUCUAGGAUAGUGGUGCUCUCAAAUCCAUGCUCUUCCAGUCGAGGUGAAGAGACUGACUUGAAUCGUGAAAACACA